CGCGGUAUUUUGACUGUGCGAAGGUAGCAUAAUCAUUUGUCUUUUAAUUGAAGACUUGUAUGAAUGGUUGAACGAGAAAAUAACUGUCUCUUUAAAAAAUUUUGAAUUUUACUUUUAAGUGAAAAGGCUUAAAUAAUUUUAAGGGACGAUAAGACCCUAUAAAUCUUUAUAUUAUUUUUCUUUAACUUUCAAAUUAUAUAUUAAAAGAAACAAAGAAAAAAAUAUUAUAUUGGGGAGAUAAAAAUAUAAUUUUUUUAACUGUUUUAAGUAUAAAACAAUAAUUUUUGAUUUAUUAAAAAUUGAUCCUUUUUAAAGAUUUUAAGAUUAAGUUACUUUAGGGAUAACAGCGUAAUUUUUUUUGAGAGUUCAUAUCGAAAAAAAAGUUUGCGACCUCGAUGUUGAAUUAAAAUAUCCUUAUAAGUGUAGAAGCUAUAAAGGAAAGUCUGUUCGACUUUUAAAAUUUUACAU
rnacentral:rRNA from 1 species